rnacentral:rRNA from 1 species
GACGAACCGUGCGAACGUUAUUCGGAAUCACUGGGCUUAAAGCGCGUGUAGGCGGGCCAUCACGUCGGUCGUUGAAAGCCCCCGGCUCAACCGGGGAACCGGCGCCGAUACGAGUGGCCUGGAGGGGGGUAGGGGGACCUGGAACUUCCGGUGGAGCGGUGAAAUGCGUUGAGAUCGGAAGGAACGCCCGUGGCGAAAGCGAGGUCCUGGACCCCAUCUGGCGCUGAGACGCGAAAGCCAGGGGAGCGAACGGG